UGAUGUAUUUUUAUCGUUAAUUAUCGUACUAGAUCUAGUCUAGAUCUAUAUAAAGUAAUUUACUAGAAUUCUAAACUAAACUAAGUUCUAAAACUUAGACUUGUUUAGUUGUUAGUCGAUAUUCAUAUUGUGACAUUGUCGAUAAUAAGUUAGAUCUCUAGACUAACUAAGACUAACUUAGUUAACUUAAGUAACUAGAUUCUAGUCUAACUCUAACUUCAAGUUUAAGUAACUUUAAGUUAACUAAGACUAAACUUUACGUUACUUAGUAGACCACUACAAAAAAAAUGUCACUAAACUUAAAGUACUUAAGCGCUUAAUUGACGAUUUCGGACUUGACUUGUUUGACUUGGACUUGAAUUUGAACUUGACUAACUUACUGAAGUAACUCUAGAGUACUCUAGAGUCUACAAUCUAGUAGUGAACUCUAGUCUAGUCUAAGUUAGAAUUGACUUCAAUACUUAUAAUAAAGACUUAUAGUCUAGCUAGAUCUAGAUCUACUUAUUAUUGUCUUAUACUGACUAAUACUGUCAAUAAUGACUAGUGACAUAGUCAGAGUCAAGUGGCAAAUCUCAUUCUAGUUCUAGGCUGACCAUCGUCUAAAGUCUAGACUAGAGUCUAGAACUAGAGUCUAGUCUAGUGCUGUGUUAUGAUUUUAUGUAAUAUUCAAUUGAAACAUAGACAUAGUUAGUGUAGUCUGUAGAGUGUAGUGACAUACUUGACAAAGUGUCACAUAGAUAGUCACACAUGUCACAUAGAUCUAUAAAUUCUAGUAAUCUAGAUCUAGUAAUUCUAGUUAUAUAUCAUAUGCCCAUAUCAUUGCCAUCAUAGUAGAUACUUCGAUUUUCCGGUCGCGCGAGAUUUUUUUUGGUUACCGGAACCGGUAGUAUUCGUGCGGCAGUAUUUAAGCCGAAAGCAGUGGUGAUUUUGUUCCAGUCUGGUUUUGUCUUCAAAAUCAGACACAAAAGGAUAAUCGGAGCCCUUUGUUUGUUCAAGGAUCGGAUAUCAGUUAAUUCUUUGGAUUUAUAUCAGUGCUUUUCUAUCGUCUUCAUGAAGUUCCAGCGUGUUGAGCAUAGGGAUAAUGUGGGCGUGGCAGGCCUUGAUGUCGAUGUUGUUGACAAUAAGUUUCGAAGGCAUAUGACUGAUGUGAAGAACUUUUGCAGGAAGAUUACCCGCAGCUGGCACCUAGUUGUACCCUACUUGGAUAAAAAAAAUUUCUAUCGAUGCUGCUGGCAAAAAGACACCUAUCCAAGUCCCACGACAGAAUUGAACGACCUAGUAUGGUGAAGAAGUUGCGACCUGAAGGUGAUGUUGAGGCUACUGAAAGGCCAGGUAACACAGAACAACACUGUGCUUGUUGUUGCAGAAAAGCGGUUAGUCUUUUAAGGGCUUUUUGGCAAGAUGUUGACUGGACCGUGGAUGACACUGAUCUACAAAAUGAAAGAUGAAACAUUUUAAAGAUACCAUUUAUGCAGCUAUUAUAUUUAUUCUCUUGUUUUCUAGAUCUCUCAUGUGAAGGUCUGCAUUGACAAACUAAAGCCACUAAAGGCCAUUGUGGAUUCUCCAGAGAAUCUCCUUUCAAUACUAACUGAUUGCUUUGGCCAGACUCUGGAUACUGAAGAUCUCGUUCUGAAAACCCUGAGAAAUGUGACUGUUGAUGAAGUAUUUAUCGAGAUCACUAAAAAACUUGCUGAAGGUUUUUGUAAGGUGCUACAGAGACAGUACUUCAAUUGAUAAUUUCCAACAACAAACAAAUCCAUUAUGUGCUUAGCCAUCAAAUAGUUAGAUAUAUUUUAUUUUAAGGGAACAUGUUGCAUAUCUGGGAUGUUAUUUAUUUAAUGUGAAAAAUAUAAUUUCACAAUACAGCUGAUAAUUGUGCUAUGAACCAUUUAUAUUAAGUCUUGAUAAUUUUACCUUUUCAGCAAGCCUACAUUGGUAUGCAUUAAAAGUAUUUAUUCUAUUUCAGCAAAACAGAUAGGGUACACCCAAACAAUGUUCAUCUUCAAACAAUCAUGCAUGAUCCUCGCAAGCUUUGGAUACUGACGUACAUUUGCAAACGCACUCAGACUGAUGACAUCAAGAAAUCUAUAUUUGUUAUUUACAUUAUAU